GUGGGUGUCUUGCCGGUGGAGCGUCUCAGUAUAGAAAUCUAGCUCUUUCAAAGUCAAACGAGUGCUGGAUAUUAAUCUACACAGAUUCCUCUCCUGAAAACUGUUUAUUUGGUGCCAGAGUGAAAUUGCUUUGGGAAAGCCCGAAUACCAUGGGAAGGAACGCUCCUAAUGACACAUUUAAAUGCUUUGGUCCUGACCUGUUUAAAGGAGCUAUGAGGAGAACAGAGGCUGAGAGCAGAGUGGGACACAGACGCUGGUCAUGGGAUUGUGUUCUGGCUCUUUUAUCUGAUCGGUGUCGUCCCAGUGUUCACCUGGGCUCUGUUACUGUUUCAGGCCUGUUUGUAAACAGCGCUGGGUUCUGUUUGGCUGUUUGUGAAUUGGUGCAUGUUCUUGUUCUCUGAUCUGGUCUUUUAGUCUUUCAGAGACCUUUUCCUGCUUAAACUCUUAAAGCUACAGUAACAGUGGCUGUGUAGUUUCAAUUCUUUCCACAUCUGUAUGUAUCUGCGUCACUAGUUUUUAUGUAUUUAAUAUCAUCUUACUACACAUACCAAU